rnacentral:pre_miRNA from 1 species
AGCUUUUUAUAUUCAUGCUGCGAUUACGUUGGCAAUCAGUCCAUUAGGACUGAUGCAACUUCUCAAAUAAGUGAAGUU